rnacentral:rRNA from 1 species
CACGUAGGAUCCGAGCGUUAUCCGAAUUCACUGGGCGUAAAGCGCUUGCAGGCGGCUGGAUAAGUUGGAUGUAAAAUCUCCUGGCUCAACUGGGAGGGGCCGUUCAAGACUGUUCAGCUAGAGGGCAAUAGAGGGAGGUGGAAUUCCAGGUGUAGUGGUGAAAUGCGUAGAUAUCUGGAGGAACACCAGUGGCGAAAGCGGCCUCCUGGAUUGCAUCUGACGCUCAGAAGCGAAAGCUAGGGGAGCGAACGGG